GACGAACGCUGGCGGCGUGCCUAACACAUGCAAGUCAACUUGACUGAAGGAGCAAUCUGACAGUAGAGUGGCGCAAGGGUGCGUAACGCGUAGGUAACUUGCCCCAAGGUAAGGAAUAACGUCGAGAAAUCGGCGCUAAUACCUCAUAAUGCAGCGGAUCCGCAUGGAUAUGUUGUUAAAGGUUUACCGCCUUGGGAUAGGCUUGCGUCUGAUUAGCUAGUUGGUGUGGUAACGGCACACCAAGGCUACGAUCAGUAACUGGUCUGAGAGGAUGAUCAGUCACACUGGAACUGAGACACGGUCCAGACUCCUACGGGAGGCAGCAGUGAGGAAUAUUGGGCAAUGCUCGAAAGAGUGACCCAGCAACGCCGCGUGGAGGAUGAAGGUAUUCUAUAUCGUAAACUCCUGUCGAGAGCAGACGAAAGACAGAUUAUAAUCUGGAUGACUGUAUGACUCAGAGGAAG
rnacentral:rRNA from 1 species